rnacentral:lncRNA from 1 species
GUGUUGAGCUAUAGGCGUGUGUAUCCAACAUAUUAUUCGAAUAGUUUGAUAAUAAUAUUACAAAAAUUCAAACCAGCAUAACAUAAUGAAUCAUUUUUCAAUGUUUUUCUUAGUACUCGUAACAAGCGCGUUAUCGAAAAAUGAAAAGUUAAACUUUUUUCCUAAUCUUCCAGUUGUAAGUAACUUUAAUAAUUCAUCGAAAUAAUAUUUUUCACGUGCGCAUAUUAUAUCAUUCAUAAUAUAACUAUGGAUUUUUACCUUAAAUAAUAACAGGGAGAAUACAAGGUGUAUCCCAGAGCUAUUAUACAAUGUAAACAAAAACAACAUCUUUUUGAAUUUAAUAUGUAUUUGAAUAGAAUAUCAAGUAACACUUCUGAAGUCAAAGGUAAUAUUACAUGUAUGAAACCAAUGGACGAUUCUGACAAUGUAAGUAUGUUUAUACAUGGUUUUUAUUAAAAUUGAAUUGUGCCGUAUUGCAAAUAAUGCCUAAGUGAUAGUUUAACUGUUCGUAAACUAUAAUAUUUAUGUUCAUUAAUAUUCAUCACAAUAGCUUGAAAAAUCAAAAACUAUUGAAAAUGUGUGUUUUAAAAUAUCCACGGAAAGGUGUAGAAUUUAAAAAAAAUUAUUUAAUCUUUUCGUUGAAUUUAAGAAGAUAUAGAAAAAAUGGAGAAAAUAAAUAAAUGACUAACUUCUUUAUCAAAUGAAAAAACCCGACAAACGAACUUACUCAAACNAAUCAAAUAUACGAAAAGAUGAAUAAUAUUAAUAGGAAUAAUUUAAUAUUAUUUUGAAUUUUAUUAAACAAAACAGCAAAUUAUUGAAAUCGUACCCAUAAAAAAAUAAACGUGAUAAUAUAUUAUAAUUACUAUAAGAAACCGUUGGACGAUUAACCUGAUGUUAAGUUUAAACAUUGAUUUAACAAGAUGUAUUAAAUAUUAAUUCAGUUAAUUUUAAUCUAGGGGUCAGAAAACUUUUUUAAUAAUUUUCAAUUUGGUAAAUUACUAAAAAUAUUAGUACUCCAUAUAUACGUAACUAGGUAUUACAAUUAUAAUCGCAAAAUGUUAUUAAUUUUUAAUUUGAAUUCACUAGGCGACUAUCAUAUCAGUUAGUAUUAAACCGGACAUCCGUCUGUAACUUUGAAAAUUGUGAUUAUUAUUUGUCUUAAUCAGAUAAUUCAUCGUAAUAUUACUAAUUGUUAUUUAUUGGCUUAAUUAAUAUUAAAUAAUACGUAUAAAAUGAAAUAUAUAUAUAUGUAUAACUUUGUUUAAAGAUAGUAAUAAUCAGUGCAGUCAAAGAUUCCAUCGGUGGUUGGAAAGACAAUGCUUUCAUUUACAAAAUUUCCAAAGCAUGUUCAACGUUUGAGAAAGUAUUUGGUAACUUGAGAACCACACUCAAUCUAACCACAAAAAAUAAUAAUUUUAAUCGGAAUUGUCCAUAUCCUGCAGUAAAUAUAAUUCGCGUAAUGUUAUACUUUAAUAUAUAAUAUUCAACAAAUAUAUUUACGUUUAGGGUGUAUAUGUAUCAAAUGGUUUUGAUUUUACAAGUUUCAUGGCAAAUGCGAAUUUACCAAAACAAUAUUUUUACGGAAUUUACAAAGCUCGAUUUGAAUUGUUCGAUAAAAAAAACAAUCAAAUUGGUUGUGUAAUUUUUGUCAUAGACAUUAAACGUCCCUGGGAAACCGAAUAAGUCUAUGUGUUGAUUUUAUACGUUUUAUUAUUGUUG